rnacentral:misc_RNA from 1 species
GAUGAAGAACGCAGCGAAAUGCGAUAAGUAAUGUGAAUUGCAGAAUUCAGUGAAUCAUCGAAUCUUUGAACGCACAUUGCGCCCGCCAGUAUUCUGGCGGGCAUGCCUGUUCGAGCGUCAUUUCAACCCUCAAGCCCCCGGGCUUGGUGUUGGGGAUCGGCGUGCCCUCGCGGCGCGCCGUCCCCUAAAUCUAGUGGCGGUCUCGCUGUAGCUUCCUCUGCGUAGUAGCAACACUCGCACUGGAUCGCAGCGCGGCCACGCCGUUAAACCCCCCACUUCUGAACGUUUGACCUCGGAUCAGGUAGGAAUACCCGCUGAACUUAAGCAUAUCAAUAAGCGGAGGA